rnacentral:rRNA from 1 species
UGAGGAAUAUUGGUCAAUGGGCGAGAGCCUGAACCAGCCACGUCGCGUGAAGGAAGCCUGACCUUACGGUUUGUAAACUUCUUUUGUAGAGGGGUAAUGGCAGAUACGUGUAUUUGCGUGAAAGUACUCUACGAAUAAGCAUCGGCUAACUCCGUGCCAGCAGCCGCGGUAAUACGGGGGAUGCGAGCGUUAUCCGGAAUUAUUGGGUUUAAAGGGUGCGCAGGUGGCUAAUCAGGUCAGUGGUGAAAAGCUAUGGCUCAACCAUGGUCUUGCCAUUGAAACCGUAUAGCUAGAGAGGAGACGAGGUAGGCGGAAUGUGUGGUGUAGCGGUGAAAUGCAUAGAUAUCACACAGAACUCCGAUUGCGAAGGCAGCUUACCAGGCUUUAUCUGACACUUAGGCACGACAGCGUGGGGAUCAAACAGG